UGUAAAUGUUAUGUAAUUCCCAACGCUCACCCCCCAUUUCAGACUAUAAAUAUCUUUAAUUAAAAUAUAUGCUGACUUAAAGUAGUAGCGAUAUUAUCUUACAGUAACCCCCACAAUCUGAGCUUUUUAGGCUAUUAUUAUAUGUUCCUUUGUGUGCUGAACUGAAGUGUUAUGUUAUACAGUACUGUGAGCACUACAGAGAUACAGUGUUCUAUUUAAUUGUGUGCCACCAGUGCUCAACAAUGACAGCCAUGGGAACCUGAGUGCCUUCCUGGGGCCUGCUCUACACUGAGAAACAGCAGUGGCAACAAGCCAUGUCCGACUUUGAAGCGGGAUCAAACUCGACAGCACUGGCCCACGUGAACCUGGCUUGCUGAAGAUCAGGGUGGGAAAAUAUCCGCAGUGGUUGGUGGAUACCCACAUUUUACCAGCCCCUCCAAUUUUUUUCCAGGCCCAUUUUUUUCUUCUAUGCUGUACCCCGUCCCGCUUUCACCUCUGUAGCGUUCAGAUUGUUUCUUCUAGAGCUGAAACACACUAAAAUAAAUAUUCAUGUACCAGCCAAUGCCAAAAUCUUCCAGCAUUUGGCUAGUGGCUUGUGUUCAUUUCCCACCCUGCUGAAGAUGGGUCAGAAUUAUGUAGCCAUCAGAAUGUUCAGCAAUGCCUUAAGGGUGGACCCCACCUACAUCAGAGGAUACAAGUAGCCUAGUGGUUAGAGCGUUGGGCCAGUAACGAAAGGUUGGUGGAUCAAAUCCCCGAGCUGACAAGGUAAAAAUCUGUCGUUCUGCGCCUGAACAAGGCAGUUAACCCACUGUUUCUAGGCCGUCAUUGUAAAUAAGAAUUUGUUCUUAACUGGCUUGCCUAGUUAAAUAAAGGUUCAAUUUAAAAAAAGAAAUACAUCUGCCGGACCCAAGCCCAUCACAAUGUAAACACGAUCACGUCACCAUGUUUUUUGAUUUAUAAACUUAUUUUACAUUUGUGGUUCAUGUACUGCAUCUUAUUUGUAUCUAAACAGGUCAAUGAUCUGAAGAGAGAAAAUCUUACAAGUCACUCACAUGAAACCAGGUGCACAACACUUCUAUAUCAUGAGCUCUGGGGUCAUUUCCUAUCCAGCAGGCUGCAGUCCAGUCUUUCCUGGGGAAUGAUGCCAAAGCCAUUGCCUGUCUAGAGGCAGCCACCAACAACCGACCCUCACAUCCCAUCUUCAUUCUGCUGGGCAAGACUCAGAUGAAG